rnacentral:rRNA from 1 species
GGGAUGAGCCCAGCGCCGAAUCCCCGACCCACGGUCGCGGGAAAUGUGGCGUUUAGGAGUGAGCGUGCCGGGAUCGGCGGCUGCGGCAAGUCCCCCUGACCGGGGCCUGUCCAUAGCGGGUGCGAGGCCCAUAGCCGCGGCUUCCGUCUCGGAUGCGAUCUCCUUGGAGUCGGGUUGCUUGGGAGUGCAGCCCUAAUCGGGUGGUAAACUCCACCUAAGGCUAAAUACCGCCGUGAGACCGAUAGCAAACAAGUACCGUGAGGGAAAGUUGCAAAGAACUUUGAAGAGAGAGUUCAAGAGUACGUGAAACUGCUCAGAGGUAAACGGGUGGGCCCUCGAAAUCCUGUGGCGAGAGGAUUCAGUCUGGCUCGGCGGACGCGGARGCGGAAUUCAGCAGAGCUUCCCCGGAACGGGGGCCGUCUGCAGCCGCGUCUUCUGUCGUUCCUGACGCAUUUGACUCUCGUCCUGAGGACGCCGCAGCCGGUUCGGAAGUGCAAACGUGACGGCCUGAAGGUCGGGAAAUGGCAGGUGGCCGGUGGCUCGUCUCGUGCGAGUCGUCGGUUGUUAGCCGUCCCGUCAGUGGCCCGUCUCCGGACCGAGGUGUCGCGAGUCCCGCAAGGGAUUCCACGUCUCCGCCCCCGUGCUGCGGGAUAGACUUCGGCAGGAGGGCUCGGUCGGGCUUCCGCACGCACACGCUGUGGGAGCGCCUGAUUGCACAGCUCUCUGUUGGUCGAGGCGAGGCCCGCGGGGGUUUCUGGAGGCUGGCGGCGAGUAGGUCGGUCACCCMCCCGACCCGUCUUGAAACACGGACCARGGAGUCUAACAUGUGCGCGAGUCAGUGGGUCUUGAACAGGCCCMCGGGSGCAAUGAAAGCGAAGCGCGGACGAGUGCCGUGCGAGCGGGGAUCCCUCCUCYUNNNGGGGGGGGCGCACCCGCGACCCGUUCUGUGCCGCUCGCGGCUUGGGCGGAGUCUGAGCGUACACGUUGGGACCCGAAAGAUGGUGAACUAUGCCCGGACAGAAUGAAGCCAGAGGAAACUCUGGUGGAGGUUCGCAGCGG